rnacentral:rRNA from 1 species
UACGAAGGGUGCAAACGUUGAUCGGAAUUAUUGGGCGUAAAGCGCACGUAGGCGGCUUGGCAAGUCGGAUGUGAAAGCCCUCGGCUCAACCAAGGAAGUGCAUCCGAAACUGCUGAGCUUGAGUACUUAAGAGGAUCGCGGAAUUCCCGGUGUAGAGGUGAAAUUCGUAGAUAUCGGGAGGAACACCAGUGGCGAAGGCGGCGAUCUGGGAAGAUACUGACGCUGAGGUGCGAAAGCGUGGGGAGCAAACAGG